AGAAGUCUCCGGGCCCAGCUCCUCACCGAAACAUCUUUCGCUCUCGGUGCCCGGUUUGUGACCCGCACACCCUUGUGAACCAUAUUUCCCAGAGAGGCUCCGCCUGUUCCUGCUCCCGGAAUCUCUCUUCCAUCAUGCUUGGUCCACGUUCCUUUCAGGUUCACCGGAAUUCCAUGGCUGGGACCUGAAAUGGGAAGCGACUUGGCCGCGAAGGAUCCUGGGAGCGGUGGUUCUAGCGCAGGCGCUGGACGCUUGGGACACAGGACAGAGUGAAAAGGACACUGAAGAUGCAGAAGGCGGAGGCGAGCCAGAAGGCGCCGUAAGGCCUGAGAACCUCCUGGAAAGAGAGGAAGGGCCUCAUGUAGACACAACAGGGAGCAGGCUGCACUGGGGCAGUGUGAGCACGGAGGACACUCAGGACCCAGUGGCAUGGAAGGAAGAGAGAGCACUUCCCGUCACUCAGAGCCUGGUCACCCUCCCAGGACAGACCUGAUGACCUCCCAGGUGCCAGGACCAGAGGCCCCUCCCUUGUCAGCUCCUUUCCCUCUGGGACCCAGUGACCCAGCGCUCCCCUGACCCCCCCCUCCUCCCCCCCCCCCCAAACUCUGGGACACUGUACACUCCUGGGUCACUGUUAGGUCCUUUACCGCCGCCCCCCCUCCUUUGUUGCUGGUCCCUCCGCACAGCUCCCAGUGAGUAAUUUCCACCGCUAAGACUUUGCUCCGGUCUUCCCGAUGUGUUCCCCAGCGCAGCCCGCCUGAGACCCAGGCCCUGCAGAGACUCCAGGCCAACCCCAGGCAUCCAUGCCUCUCCUGGCCUGCCCACCCCCACCUCCCCACCCCCUCCAGCCUCCCAGUGGUUUGUUCUCCUGCUGUCCGCUGCCAGCCCAACCUCAUCCACCCCGUCCACCCCAAUCCAUCCACAGGGCACCCUGUCCACUGCAUUCAUUGCUGUCUCUGGCUCCUCCAACAGGCCUGGACAUGGUACGUACCAGGAGACCUGGGGGAGGGGAGGCGGACGGGAAUGAAUGCCUGGACAGGUGGCCUAUCUGCUCCAGAACCAUCCUCCCCUAUCAGCUGGGGAGCCCCGUGGCAGGGUCCAGGGCUGUGUCAGUCCAUCUGUGCAAAAGUAGCAAAGUUUUAAAAUGAACUGACGCUCCCACAACCCUGAGGGGAAGGUGCUGUCACCCUCCUCCAUCUUCAGCCAAGGAAGCUGGUUUAGAGAAGGUGAGCAGCACACCCCAGGUCACACAGUGGGAAGUGGCCGAGGUGGGGUUAGAGCCCAGGCUUGUCAACUCCAAAGCCAGAGUUCUUCCCGCACAGCCCUAGAUCCUGGCCCAUGUCCCCACUGUCCAAUGGUGGAACUGUAUCCUGCUUUCCUUCUGCCGGAAUGGCCUGAAGGCUCCUGAGUGGUCACAGCCUGUGUUCUGCACCUUUCCUGGCCCAUCUGUCUUCCCUUCGUCCCUGACCAAGAUGGCCGGUGUCCCAGGAUGGUGGGGCCUCAGCCACUGGCCCUGAGUCUUCUGCAGUAAGAGUAAUUCUAAAAAGCGCUCCCCACUGACUGCGUGAGGAGGAGACCCUCAGGGCCUGCACUUACCAUGAU